rnacentral:rRNA from 1 species
CCUACGGGAGGCAGCAGUGAGGAAUAUUGGUCAAUGGGCGUAAGCCUGAACCAGCCAAGUCGCGUGAGGGAUGAAGGUUCUAUGGAUCGUAAACCUCUUUUAUAAGGGAAUAAAGUGCGGGACGUGUCCCGUUUUGUAUGUACCUUAUGAAUAAGGAUCGGCUAACUCCGUGCCAGCAGCCGCGGUAAUACGGAGGCUCCGCGCGUUAUCCGGAGUUAGUGGGUUUAAAGGGAGCGGAGGGGGCUUGUUAAGUCAGUUGUGAAAGUUUGCGGCUCAACCGUAAAAUUGCAGUUGAAACUGGCAGUCUUGAGUACAGUAGAGGUGGGCGGCAUUCGUGGUGUCGCGGUGAAAUUCUUCGAUAUCACGAAGAACUCCGAUUGCGAAGGCAGCUCACUGGACUGCAACUGACACUGAGGCUCGAAAGUGUGGGUAUCAAACAGGAUUCGAUACCCGGGUAGUC